AAAGGUGGCCAAGGUAAAUGCAGAUGAACCGCUUCUAAUAGUCCAUUGACUUGGACAAUACCUUUAUGAUG
rnacentral:rRNA from 1 species